rnacentral:rRNA from 1 species
GACGAACGCUGGCGGCGUGCUUAACACAUGCAAGUCGAGCGGUAAGGCCCUUUCGGGGGUACGACGAGCGGCGAACGGGUGAGUAACACGUGGGUGACCUGCCCUCAGCUCUGGGAUAAGCCUGGGAAACCGGGCCUAAUACUGGAUAUGACUCCAUGACGCAUGUUGUGGGGUGGAAAGCCUUGUGCGGCUGAGGAUGGGCCCGCGGCCUAUCAGCUUGUUGGUGGGGUGAUGGCCUACCAAGGCGACGACGGUAGCCGGCCUGAGAGGGCGACCGGCCACACUGGGACUGAGACACGGCCCAGACUCCUACGGGAGGCAGCAGUGGGGAAUCUUGCGCAAUGGGCGAAAGCCUGACGCAGCGACGCCGCGUGAGGGAUGACGGCCUGUGU